UUCAGCUCCCUGCCCACCAGACUGUGAGCUCCUCCAGGCCCAUCUUCCUGCAUGAAACGAGCCUGUGCGCACAAAGUCUGCCAAAGCACGGAUCCCGGAGCCUGGUGCCCCACAGAUGCUCUAACACGUUGACCUCUGUCGUCCUGUGAGUGAUGAUGGCACGAGUAACACGGGGUGCACACAGAGAGCGGUGUAGCUGCUGUGCUAGGGUCAGGCCCUUUGUUGGAAACAACACAUCGGAAAGAGUGUCUAGAGCACAUCUCUCAGGAGGCGUGACUGCUGAAUCCACUUUCUCCCCACACACAACGUCCAGUGAUGUGCACCCAGCAAGCGCCCGUGGGAUCCUUCUGAACGGAAGAAAUUCUGCUCUCUGUCAGCCUGUGCUGUUAGGUGUCCCCAGGAAACCCACGCGUCUUCUGCGGACAGACCUGGCUCGAGAACAGCCCACACUCUUGACCAUCACCGAGCAAGCAUACCCGCCCUUAAGGCUGGAGUGAAGUGGGAGGAGCCGG
rnacentral:lncRNA from 1 species